UGUCUUAAUUCCGGUGCAUUAUUUUUUGGAGGCCUGAUCACGCGUGGUUUCUAUAUGUGGAUACGAACAACCCAGAGUUUUUCGCCUUCGGAAUGGUUAAAGUCAGCGUUUUUUCCCCAUUUUCUUGCAUUAGAAAAAUAUAGCCAACAAAACAUUCCACAUUAUGGUGUGAUCCAGAUGCCUCGGACACCAGCCUUCCGACUUGUGAUGUCACGCUGUCGGAGCACUUAUAGCGUUCCCGUUCGUCUUUGUGAUUGUGUCAUGAAAUUGGCCAGUCGUUGUUUCUUGUUAGCUACAUUAGCCUCUUUUGCAAACUAUCUCGAAGACAAACAACACAACACAACUUUACAGCAAGACCGUGUAAUGCAUAAAUUGGUGACCGGAAUACAGUAGCAAUGUAAUCAAGUGCGCAACAUUAACAUGACCAACGUGGUACAAAUACAAAGAAAAUAAAUCUCUUUACGGGCGAAGCCAUACACCAUAAUGGUGUGAUCCAGAUGCCUCGGACACCAGCCUUCCGAGUUCGAAGUGGGGAAAUCUCACAGCUUUCUUGCGGCAUUUCAUGGAGAAACGCACCCUUUUUGUACCUAAAGGGAGGUUCUUAAGGGUACACCCAUCAAGGACCCUCCAAAAUGGGGAACCAUCACACAAAUUAUAUCAAAUUGAGCAAACGGAUUGGUGCAAAGGUGGUGGACUUCAAACAUGAAACAAAUGGAGACAUUGCACGGUCCAUAACAGCGACAGAGUUGGAGAUUUCCAGGAUAGAAGCAGAGAGGCCAACAAGUUGGAGGGAAUAUUCCUUCACAGAUGGCAACACGACAAAUGACUCCCAGAUUGAUUACCAGGUGAAGCAGUCCAAUGAGAGCGUUGAAAGUAAUGACUCUAUAAUUGAUGGGGUGUCUGAGAUGGACCAAACCCAGGCUUCUGGCAUUGGCCUGUUGGAUGAACCUCAGGGGAACCUGAUGGAUGUGUUGGUGCAGCCUGAAGACCAGAAUGAAGAGCUGGAACAAACUCUGAGUAGUCCUCGUAGCACUCUGAUGGAGCUGUUCCCCCAAAUGAUCACUCAGAUGGGGAAGACCUCUCCCCGGCAGAGGUACACAAAGAUGAGACCAAUUGGCAGCAAGGCCGGGACCGGCAAGCCCUCACCCAGGGGGGAUUGCCACGACCUCUGCCAAUCUGGUGAUGAACACAACCUGAAAGCAGCAGUUAAAAGCUGCGUGGCCAUGAUCCAUUCCCCUGUGCAAAGACAUUCCAACCUGACUCAGCCGCUGCAGGGUGUGGGAGCAUCUUCUGAGAGUGAGGCAGAACCGGGCGAGGAGAGAUGGCCAGUGGACGGAAUUUUCCUUGUUGAUGCAAAGCAAGGAGUCAAUGAACCAUACAUUCACUGUGUCCAAGGGUUCUCAUCCCUGUUCGCCUCUCUCUGGCAAACCUCAGGGACAAAGCCAUUCCACUGCAGUGCAAUCCCCAGCUCAGACCCUGAGGUUUAACAGAAGCAAUGGCCCUUAUGUGAUGGAGAGCUCAACUGUUCCCAAGACUCUGCAGAGCUUGUUAAAUACAAGGGGGAAGAACCAUAAUGGCUAUGGUGGAUCUCCCAAGGCUUUGGCAAGACAGAACCCUGUAUCAUCUUCUAUACAUGAGCAGCACUCCCGGUCACCAAAGAGAAGGCUCUACCAUCAGGAUUGUCACAGUCCCUCCCGGAUUAGAUCGGACUCCCUACAGUCGUCCCUCCGGCCAGGUGGAAUGUAUUCCCCUGCCAAAAUAGAAGAGGCGUUCAGAAAUCUUUACCACAAAGUUGUCUGUCUGGCCAAAGCUCCUCUCUCAAAAUGCUCUCCCUGUCGUUGCUCUGCUCGAAGAUUAGAGGCCAACAUUGGGAGCUCUUCUUCCCCUGCCUCUGCACCGUCACCUCUGGCCCUUUCCCCCCACCGCUCCAACCUGCGGAAGCGUGCCAGGGAGCUCGACUAGGACAGGUCUCCCACUUUCAAACACCCCUGGGGAUGGAACUCGUCCCCUGGCGCCAUUUCAAAGAGAGAAGACUGCAUCUGUAACAGUGCAGUCCUGAGUUGGUGUUCUACAUUAUUGCGUUGGAUUUUACG
rnacentral:lncRNA from 1 species